rnacentral:rRNA from 1 species
CCUGCCCUUGGGUCCGGCAUAACCCCGGGAAACUGGGGAUAAUUCCGGAUAACGCAUAUAUGCUGGAAUGCUUUAUGCGUCAAAUGGAUUCGUCUGCCCAAGGAUGGGUCUGCGGCCUAUCAGGUAGUAGUGGGUGUAAUGUACCUACUAGCCGACGACGGGUACGGGUUGUGAGAGCAAGUGCCCGGAGAUGGAUUCUGAGACAUGAAUCCAGGCCCUACGGGGCGCAGCAGGCGCGAAAACUUUACAAUGCGGGAAACCGUGAUAAGGGGACACCGAGUGCCAGCAUCAUAUGCUGGCUGUCCGGGUGUGUAAAAUACACCCGUUAGCAAGGGCCGGGCAAGACCGGUGCCAGCCGCCGCGGUAACACCGGCGGCCCGAGUGGUGAUCGUGAUUAUUGGGUCUAAAGGGUCCGUAGCCGGUUUGGUCAGUCCUCCGGGAAAUCUGACGGCUUAACCGUUAGGCUUUCGGAGGAUACUGCCAGGCUUGGAACCGGGAGAGGUAAGAGGUACUACAGGGGUAGGAGUGAAAUCUUGUAAUCCCUGUGGGACCACCUGUGGCGAAGGCGUCUUACCAGA